CACACACACACACACAACAGUUCUUAAAAAUAAUAAAUGCGUAAAAGAUAAACAAAAAACAUAAGAGUUCUGAGAACAAGGAAAAGGAAGGAGUGAGGGGGCUGGCAGGUGGCUCUGAGAGAAGGAAAGGGAAGAUGGAAUUGGACAACUGGGGAGGGCAGAAAGGAAGCAGCCAAAACAUUAAAUAUACACAGCUCACUGCCAACUGCAAGUGGCAGCAUGCGCCCUGGUUCCCAUUCCAUCACAUCCUCAAAUCUGAAAUGAGUAAGAGUACCUACUGCAUAGGACUGUUGUGAGAAAAAUGAGACAACGUGUGUAAAACUCUGGAAAACCUGGUGCAUAAUGAUCCUUCAGUCAAGAUUGUGUCGUUAUCAUGAUCAUCAGCUAAUGUUCAUCACUGAUCCAUCAUCUGUUUGUGUAUGUGUCAGUGUGACUACCUCUGGUCUCAAACAGUUUCUUGAUUCAAUUAACUAAAGGCUGCGGUCUGUUUUCAAAGCCUUUCACAGUCCUAAACUUGCGUAGAAAGACAACGAUUAGUCAAAGAGUGAACAUCAACACAUUGUCUCACUUUAUGAACUCUGUUUAACUAAUAACUUUGGGUUUUUUGUUUGUUUGUUUGUUUGCUUUUGAGACAGAGUCUCACUUCAUUGCCCAGGCUGGAGUACAGUGGCAUGAUCUCAGCUCACUGCAACCUCCACCUCCCAGGUUCAAG
rnacentral:lncRNA from 10 species